CUCAUGGUUUGGUACGCGAGGUAUUGUCUGCUUUGGUUUGUGACCAUCUUUGAAAUUCAGUGGGCCUUGGUCAUUUAGAGCCUCACAAUUUUAUCCUUUAAAGGAUGCUUCAUGUGGGAAGAAUGGUCUCUUUCUAUAUAAGCUAGAUUUUUCUUUGACUUCAAUCAAUGUUGGAUUAAUGAUGUCCUUUCUUCUAUACCACAACAUAGUCCCCC
rnacentral:lncRNA from 1 species